UUGUGCAAAAGCUUUUAUGCUUAAUCAGGUCCUAUUAUUUAUUGAUGCUUUUAUUUUGUCCUAGGAGACAGAUUCAAAAAAUUUUGCUACAAUUUAUGUUUCUUUAUAGUUUUAUGGUUUCAGGCCUUACAACUAGGUCUUUAAUUCAUUUUGAAUUUAUUUUUGCAUAAAGUGUUGAGGUAAUGUUCUAAUCUCAUUAUUACACAUGUAUCUGUCCAGUUUUCCCAACACUGCUUUUUGAAAACCCUGUAUUUUCUCUAUUGUACAUUCUUACCUCUUUUUUGCUGAUUAAUUAAUAAUAGGUGCAUGGGAUUAUUUCUUGGCUCUAUAUCUGUUCCUUCGAUCUAUGUGUCUGUUUUUGUGCCAGUACAAUGCUGUUUUGAUUACUCUAGCUUUGUAAUACCGUCUGAAAUCUGGAGGGUGAUACCUCUAGUUUUGUCCUUUUUUCUCAAGAUGGCUUUGGCAAUUCUGGGUCUUUUGUGGUUCUGUGUAAGUUUUGGGAUUAUACUCGUGAAAAAAAUGUCAUGGGUAUUUUGAUAGAGAUUGCUGUUAAUCUGUAGAUUGCUUUGGGUAAUAUGGUCAUUUUAGCAAUGUUAUUUCUUCAGUCUAACUACAAGAUAUCUUUCCAUUUCUUUAACUCUUCAUAAGCUUCCUUCAACAAUGUUUGAUAGCUUUCAGAGUAUAGGUCUUUCGCCUCCUUGGUUAAGUUUAUUUCUAAUUAUUUUAUUGUUUUUGAUGGGAUUUUUUUAACCUUUGCUUUUUGAUGGUUCAUUAUAAUUGUGUAGAAAUGCAGGAGUUCUUGUCAUGGCUCAGCAGUAACAAACCCAACUAGUAUCCAUGAGGAUUAGGGUUCAGUCCCUGGCCUCACUCAGUGGGUUAAGGAUCCAGUGCUGCCUUGAGCUGUGGUGUAGGCUGUAGAUGCAGCUUGGAUGUGGCAUUGCUGUGUCUGUGGCUGUGGCUGGCAGCUGCAGCUCUGAUUUGAUUCCUAGCCUGAGAACUUCCACAUGCCAUAGGAGUGGCCCUAAAGAGCAAAAAAUAAAAAUAAAAAAAUUUAAACAUAAUAAAAAAGAGAGAAAUGCAGUAGAUUUUUAUAUAUAAAUCUGUAUCUUGCAACUUUGUUGAAUUCAUUUAUCAGUUCGAAUGUUUUUGAGUGGAGACUUUAAGGUUUUUCUAUAUAAAGUACCAUAUCAUCUUCAAAUAGUGAGUGACAGGUUUACUUCUCUUCCAGUUUGGAUUCCUUUUACUUUUUUUUUUUUUUUUUGUCUGAUUGUUAAGAUUUUGAUGUUUGCAAAUGCACAGAUAAUGCUUUAUCACUACUUCCACCUGGCCGACAAAGAUUGUAACCUUUCAUCAACUUCAAGAAACAUUCCAUUUUCAAAGAUAUGUAAAACAUGAAAAACAUGCAUUGAAAAAAUCAAUAAAAUAGGUAACAUAUUUAAUCCUUACAAUCCUAUGACACAGAUAACAUUAUUAUCAUACUUUUAUAAGUGAACUAAAGCACAGAGAAUUUGAGUAACUUGACCAGGAUAGCACAGUUAAUUGGUGUUAAAGCUGGAGUUCAAAGCCAGGAUUCUGGCUCCAGAGACUUUAAAGUAGCCCUUAGCUUCAGAGCUCUAUUCCUGUUUCAUCAAAGCUUCGUUCUAAAAUACCCAAGCAGCAAACAUUUAUACUAUUCUCCUAAGGCUAACUACUCGGUGCAGAUCACAAUCAGAAAGCCUCAAGGCUAUGGAAAACAGUAUGGAGAUACCUCAGAAAACUAAAUACAGAACUAUCAUAUGACCCAGCAAGCCUACUCCUGGGCAUAUAUUCCAGAUUUGGCAUAUAUCCAAAACUUUCAUUGAAAGAGAUACAUGCAUCCCCUAUGUUCAUUGCAGCACCAUUCACAAUAGUCGAGACCUCAAACAACCUAAUGUCCAUCAAUAAAUGAAUGGAUUAAGAAGAUGUGGUAAAUGUAUACACGAUGGAAUACUACUCAGCCAUAAAAAAGAAUAAAAUAAUGUGGAUGGAACUGGAGACUCUCAUACUAAGUGAAGUAAGUCAGAAAGAGAAAGACAAAUACCAUAUGAUUCUUAUAUCUGGAAUCUAACAUAUGGCACAAAUGAACCUAUCUACGGAAAAGAAACAGACUCACAUAGACUUGUGGUUGCCAAGGGGGAGGGAGUGGAAUUAACUGGGAGUUUGGGGUUAGCAGAUGCAAACUAUUGCAUUUGCAGUGGAUAAGCAAUGAGAUCCACUGUAUAGCACAGGGAACUACAUCUAGUCAUUUGUGAUGGAACAUGAUGGAGGAUAAUGUAAGAAAAAGAGUAUAUAUAUUCUUUAUACAUAUAUGGCUGGGUCACUUUGCUGUACAGCAGAUAUUGACAGAACAUUUUAAAUCAACUAUAAUAGAAAAAAUAAAAAUCUUUUUAAAAACUAAAUAAUAAUAAUAAAAAGAAAGCCUCAAGGCCUUUGGCUAGGAUUUAAUUUACCUAAUUUACCACAUCUUGAAAAUCAGAAAUCUAUUAGUUCAUUCUCUAGUUGUUUGUUCUUCAAACCCUCACCUGGGUGCAUUUUCCUUGAAGGCAUCACCUGUCUUGAGACCCAGCAUUCUCCACUGCUCCAGACUAGAAAGAAGUGCAGGUUUUGAGAAUGAGAUACCUGCAUAUGGGUAAAGACAAAGGAUAUGGCUUAUUGCACAUAACUUUCCCAGAGCUCUGGUUCUAAACCCAGGGAUCGGGGACAAGCUGAGAGAAGGGAUCAGGCCAAGCAAUUCAAAUGACCACUAAUUAGUCUUGGAUGAAACAUUCCACCUUAGACAAUUUGGGCUUUUUCCUGUUGUAAACCUUCAAUUAAUAUCUUUCAUCCCCAAAAAAUUGUAAGCUCACGAGAACAGGAACCAUGUUGUUUUUCUGUUACAUUCCCAGCACUUGGAAAAAUAAAUGGCACAUAGCUAUAAAUAUUUUUUUUGGAUUUUAGGGCUGCCUACACAGCAUAUGGAGGUUCCAGGCUAGGGAUCGAAUCAGAGCUGUAGCUCCAGCCUACUCCACAGCCACAGCAAUAUGGGAUCCAAGCCACAUCUGGGACCUACACCACAGCUCACGGCAAUGCUAGAUCCUUAACCCACUGAGCAAGUCCAUGGAUUGAACCUGCAUCCUCAUGGAUACUAGUCGGGUUCAUUACCGCUGAGCCACAACGGGAACCCCAAGAAAUGCAAAUCUUUAGAGACACAAAGACAGCUAAGGGUCUAUGGAGGUUUUUUUAAAAAGACAUCUGCAAGUGCUUAAAAAGAACAAAGAGAAUAUUAUAGAUCCCUCCAAACUUUAGUCAACUGAAUGCACCAAAGUUUAUCAAAUUUAUCUACCCCUGAAAGCAGCCUCCCAAAGUCUUCUGAAAUGAGUGUUUACAUAUAAAUUUUUAUUACUGUAAUGUACACAUUCACUCUCAUUUGACCAGCUUCCCUGACUGCCUAUGACAGAAAUUUCGGCAGCCAGAGGUAAACUCAACUUCUGGAGCUGACUGGAACCGGGAGCUAAGGCAUGCCAUACACAGAGCAGGUCAUUUAUACUGAUUUAUCAGGGGUCAGGCCAAGGACUCACAGACAGGGCUCAGAUACAGUCUUCUUUGCCCCUGGCCAAGUUUCCCUAACUACAAAUGAAUAAAGUUCAAGGCAAGGGGAUCAUUUUGUCUAUAAUUCAAGUAGAAAAUUGUUUGCCUGUGGUAUAAGAUAAGGACAGCACAUCAAUCAAAAGAUAUGAAAAAAUAGAUAUCUAAAUUCAUCAUACUUUACAGACAAAGACUUGGGUCCCCAGAUCAUAGGACCAGAAGUUAUGUAAAUACUGGGAGAGUUUCUGUUUGAACGUUUAUGAGCUGAGUUGAUCUGAAGGCUUCACUCCUUGACUGGAAUUACCCUGACCAUCUGCCACCUGUGUUACCUUCGUUGAGAGUUCCCCCUCAUGGGAACUCUGGGACGCCCAGAGCCGUGGUCCUUCCCCUUGUUCUAGGAAAGGAGUAGCACUGUGUUUGGGGUUCUGAAAACCUGUUAAUGUGAAAGUUACUGGGAGGAGGAAGUUCCAACAAAAUUGUCUGAAAAGUCAAAUAUCUCAGUCCCUCUCCCCUCCCUCUCCCCAUCGCCCCCUCUCCGUUCAGGGCUUCUCCGGGUUUUCCUUUGAAAUACUGUAAAUGCACAUGUCCAUGUGCUCUGUGAAGGGUCUGGGGAAAGAGAGGAACGCGUCCUGCUGGGAAAAAUAAACUUCUUACACAACCGUCUUAUGAAAUCUUUGGAAUUUUGCACAAAGUUUGAAUACACUAAACUGUUUUUCUUAUAUAAAUACCUUCUGGCCAAGAAGAUGCACAUGGCACCCUGCUCUGUAUUCCUGCAAUUUCAAUUGUCUCAAAUUUGAGAAGUGUGUUCCUAUACCAUCUACAAGGAACUCUAGCUGCAAUUCCUUCCAUAUAGUUGCCAGUCUACUUAAAGAACAAUGAGUAUCCAAUAAUGUUUGUUGGAUGGAUGGAUGGAUGGAUAUCAUUUGGAAGAGUAAACUUUCUAUCUGUGAAAAAAACAAGUUAUUCCUGCCCCAAACUAGGGAAGCUCAAGGGUUUCAGCAGAAUUAAAUCAAACAAAGCAAAACAAAAACAAAGCAAAAGCAAACCAAACUGGAAACUCAUUUAAAACCAUAUCUCUGGAACAAUCCCAAUGUUUGCCUUUCAGAUACAAAGCAGCAAAACAUAUUUAUAAGUUUCCUCUCAACCAUGCUCAAGGCAAUACAGAACCUGGACCAUACAAAUGGGUCGCUUCUGAGUCUAGUCAUAAGGGGCAAAAGGAAAAAGCUUGUAAGUCAUUACUAACCCUACUCUAAUCCUCCUCGGGUCCCAUAUUUAUAGUCUUCUCCCUUUCUGAGUUUGGAGCGAGAGAAAUUAACAGUGUCCUCUAGCCCAGGAUCUUUUAGACCAGUAGAUCAGGUUGAGCUCCUGGAUCCACAGAGAACUUUCACAAAAUACACAUACUUCCCUCAAAUCAAAACCUCCAGGGUAGAGACUGGAAAAACGCUUCAGUAUCUGAUGGGAACCCUAGUUAAGAAUAACUAAAACAGCGGCUAUAGACUGCUAGCCUGCAAGCAAACUUU
rnacentral:lncRNA from 1 species